UUACAACCCACUUUAUUGGUCGAAGGGUCCGACUGCCCGUUGAGCAGACCGCACUACCGGGAAACUUUGAUUAUUGGAAAUGCGAUAUGAAAGUAAAUUCAAUUUUGAAAUUUCCCUCGCAUAAAUACGAGUGAACAUUUUUUUAUUUUAAUACGUGCAGGUUACGGUUAUUUCGUGCGAUAUCCACGCGAAGAGAAUUUCGUUCAUUUUGUGACUGCAAAAAUUAAUAGGAGAAAAAAAAAUUGGAAAAGAAAAGAAGAAGUUGCCGGCCGUUAACGACGUGCGGUACUUAUUUCAGAAUGCUCGUAAGGAUCGAAUGCGGAGAACCUGCAGCACGAAGAAGUAAAGGAUCCUGUUAUAGUCUCGAAGAUAAAUGACUCCUCUUAACAGUUUUCUGUUACCACACGGUGCCAGAAAAGAUGCCCGUGCAAGAGCUGUCUGUAUUUAAGUAGGUGGGUAUACACAAUACAUACACGCAAAAAGAGUAAAACGCAAAAAUUUCCAAAGGUUUGAACGAGAGGCUUUCCAGGAACCUGAGAGUUUCAGGGAAUCCGCAGGGGUCUCCCGCGACGCUUGCCAGAGGGGUGCGGAUGAGCGAAAAAAAAAAACAUUUUCAAACAGGAAAGGGAAUGAAAAAACAAGAACGGAAUGGAUCGACGAAUCGAAAAUAUUGCGUACAAUGACCCAUGAUUUCACUUUCUAAUUUCUAGACGGAAUUGUCAUGCAAAAUUUUUCGGUUACCUAUACGACGAAGAUGCCGCACGAGAUGGACCGUCGACCCCUCUGUCGAGAAAUCAUGAGAAAUGUAUACAUGUAUACAGUUAACGGCUAUAAUAUAAUAAGACCAGUAAAAUAUAUAACAGGAUCUGGCUUCGAAAAAUCUUAACAAAGAGCGUAACGAUUUUGAAGCGAACUUGCAGGUUAUGACCAUUUGCAUCGAGCGAAUGGCGAGGGUAUAAUGUGUUACAUCGAUACAAAGGAGCUGGCUGAUGCUCGUGCCGCUGCAGAUCGAAAAAAUCGUUAGCGAAUAGAUGCGAGAAUAAGAAUGCCUGUAUACGUUCGCGAUUUUCAUACGAUAAGUUCGUUGAAAAUCGCCGAUUUCUGAGAGUUUCAAAAGCGAUGAAAAAAAAUGGUUCAAUUUCGACUCGAGUCUUUCGCAGACGAAGACGAAGAUAGCUCGCAGCUCAAUGGCAGCGGCACCCCCUUAAUUUCGUGAGAUUAGAACGUUCGCUAAUUACUUACUGAUUGAUAGUCGGCCGUAAUGAUCAGACGAGUAUAGUUCGAACGGGUGGAAAUAGUCUGAUAGAUUGACAGAUCUAUCGAUAGACAGUCCGACAAUCCGAGGGGAUGGUUGCGGCACAACAUGCAUUGCAGAGAUCGUUUCGACGUGAAUAGCUUAAUCAACGUCGGAGUGAAGCCGUUGCCCGCGUUACAUGGACUCGUAAUCUUGUCGCGGAACUCGACGGUGCGAAUUAUAAUAUCGGAGGAACCGAUGAAACAAUAACGCCGAUAAAGCGCUCGAUGAUAACAGUUUGGAAAGCGGGGAAUGCAAAAAGGAGUAGACGAAGUUCGGAGUAUACGUACAUGACACCGUUAUUAACUUUAAAGCGGCUUAAAAUAAGCCCAGAUUUUCCAUCUCAGCAGGUUAAGUUUUAAAUCAGGAUCUUUUCUUCGGUCAUUAAAGUGUAAUUAUCUCGUUAUCUCCUUUGCCAAGUUCAACCCGGGCGCUGUAGGCGCCCGCGAUGUGUCACGGCGCGUUAUAAAGAAAUCAACUAAAUUACAUAUAAUCUCAUAGUUCGGUAAUGGGGCAAAUUAAAAUUGGGGGCAAACGCCUCCGAUCUAGGAAACACCUGUUGCCAGAUUAUUUCUAUCUUCUAUAAUCCUCCGAUAAUAAUCCGCCGAGUACGUCGCGAAUGGAUACGCGUCGAUCUCCGUCGCGAGUAACCAAUUACGGGCGAACGUAAUCGCCGCUGAAUUUUUGGAAACAGAAAAGGAAUCUAUUCGUUCGUCUCGUCACAAUUCCUCCUCGCCGUGGCCGUACGCCGCUGCACCUGGAGGAUAUUCCCAUGGACGCGCGUCCUCCAAGACAGUACGGAUCGCGCGAUUCCCCUCUUCUCCGAUGGAAAAAAGGAAAAAAGGAAGAAAGGAGAGAAAAAAAAGAGUCGUCAGUUACGCAACGGUCCCGAACGGGGCCCAGAUUAACGGCCUGCGAAGCAAGACGUAGCGAGGCAAACAUCAUCGACCUGUCUUGUCCGGGUUUUCUCUGCUCGGAUCUUUCGAGGGGUGGCCGCGCGGGAUAGGUACGAAAAGUUCCCUUUCAUUGUGCGAGAUAUUUUCCCAGGAGUUCCCCUAGCCACCAUCGGAUCUCGGGGUCUUCGAAGGGUUCGGAAGGGCAGCGGAACCGGGCCUUCGCUAGGGGCCGAACCUCCGGGCUCCUAUAUAAAGGGCCCGACGGCCCCAAAACGGCACAGAACUCAAGCGACAGUGGUAGAGAGAGGAUCACGGUGGGAUUCUGGGUCCGGCUGGUCCGGGCCGGAAGGCUCACGUGUUCGUCGAGGUGGAGACGGCGCGUUGGAUAUGAAGAAGUUUUUGUUUAUACCGUCGAAUUAACCGGAAGUGCUCCUAAUUUUCUGUCGCAGAUCGACGCUGGACGUCUAGGAGAUGCAAUGGUGCUGGAGGAAGAAAUUGGGUGUUCGUACAACGCGGAAGAUGUCCCGAUAGCUGCACCUGGAGAGAAAGGAACCACGCCUCAGGAGAAAUGGAAUACGGAAAUCAGUUCGUUCGUGUCAGAUGCACUUUGACACGACCCGCAACAUUACCAAGAAGAAGCCAGAACCCAUGAACGUCAUCAUCAUCAUCAUCGUCGUCGUUGUCGUCAGCGACACGCGAAAACCCACCUCAAAGUCAGCGGCUGAUCGAACCGGAAGAAGAAGAUGGCGACGAAGGACGCAAACAUAGAAGAGGAAAAAUUGACGAUGCACAUCCAGACACACACACAUAAAAUAAACGCACAUAUUCAGAGGAGGAAGACGACGACUUCCAACAAUCUUGAAAGAAACAUAAACCGAAAACUGAAGUAGGUCAAAAUCUGGAGGAAAAAUUUCUAAGAAGAUACAACAGUCACCGAAGAACAUUACGUCGAUGAAACGCUGCAGCAAAAAUUGUGAAAAGUUAGUUAAAAGUGUACCCAAUUUUAUUUUGUUCCUUUUCCCGCGAAACAUUGAUUCGUAAUUGAAGAAAAAAAUCGCUCAUCCGGAAAAAUGUGGCUGGCGAAAAGAACUACUUGGAUCAGCGGUAUUACACGGCUCAUACAAGAUGUCGGAAAAAAAUUGUCUCGCAAAGAAGAAAAAGAAGAAAAAGAAGAAAAAGAAGAAGAAGAACAGGAAGAAAGAAAAGUUUUUAGAAUCGCACUCGAAAACUUUGAACAAAAGAAGAAACCAACCAACUCACAGGUGUCAAAAAUUGGUCAGCCAGCCAGUUCACGGCCCCAGCAAUUAAUACGAUUCGAAAACUUUGAAUUAAUCCAUUUAUGAUUUCGCAUGUAACCAGCGGGAAAAAAUAGCAAACUCAAGAAAUUAUCGUGGUGGAUCAGGCAGGAUUUACUUUGAACAAAAUUCUUGCAUUGGAUUCAAAUUUCUACAUAUAGCGGUACGAAUUAUAUUGCGAAAAAAACACACGCACUUGAAACACGAUGUACACGAGAUGAUGACAAAUCUGACGUAUUUAUUUUUUGAGUUUUUCAUCCAACGAGGGAAAUAUGAUUAUAAAUUAUGUGAAAAAAAGAAGAGACGAAAGUUCCGCAUCCAUUGGAUCCAGUUUCACAUUGAAUUUUAUACGCUGAAUUUUACGAAACAAGUUCAUCGCUGCACAGUCCAUUCGGUUCAAUUUAAUUCGAUUCAAUUCAAUUCAAUUCAAUUCAAUUCAAUUUUAAAACUUUAUCAACUUCCUUUAAAGUUCCUUCUCGAAGCAGAAGAAUAGGGGACUCCUUUACAACCGCGAAAAAACAGCUGUCCUUAGAACCGAGCUCGUCACGUCCGGAAUAAAGAGAAAAGAAAAAUCCCGGUUCUGAGCUGACAAAAAAUAGAAUCAAUUUAUGUUUCCUGAUAAUCGAUCAUCAUCGUUAACAUUAUGACAAUCUGUAACAUUGAAUCAAAUAUCUGAGGAGGCUCACUAAAACGAAAUAGCAAAAAGCUAAGGACGAUCGCAAUCCCGAGAAAUUCGCAUCGAACAAUUUCUGUACACAAAAUGAAAAUCUAUGGGAAAUUCGAGGCAGCAAAAUCUACGAUGGGAACCACACAAAUCACCGAGAAAUAUUAUAAACGCUUAAAGUGGGAUCAAAAACUAAGUUCCGGAGAAAUAAAAAAGUGUCCGAAUCGCGAAAACGAUUCAAUUCAACCAUCUGAAAAUUCAGUCCCGAAUGAUAUACCAAAUCUCGAGGAUUAUCAAAAACUGGAGUUUUCAACUGUGUAUUAAAAAAACUGACUCAUCUGCAUUUAUACGUAUAACACAUUGAUACAAAUUAAGAUUAUAUAUUUUCUGCGAUCGUUCGCGACUCACGCGAUCAUUGGAUCAAAUCAAAAAUUUAAAAGCCUUCGACUAAGUUAAAAAAUAAAAAAGGUGCUAAAAAUAAUCAAAAAUAAGAUAAAAAUAUCAAUGACCAAAUAAAAAAAAAAGAACUCACCAAAACGAAACACACAUACCAAACGAACAUCGACACACCGUCGCAAGAAGCUCAAAUAAUCACAACGACAAAAUAAAACCUAGUUAAAAUCUGAAGUAUCAAAAAAAGAAGAAUUUAUUACAAGUAUGCCAAAAAUAAACCCCCUGUGAAAAGUAUAAAACAAAAUUAAUAAUCCACGAUCGACAAAUCAAAGAAGAGAAUCCAGCAUAAUUCUCCAAAAUAAAUAAAUUAAAAAAAAACAUAAAAGCACACAACAAAGAUCCCGCAUAAUUCUCCAAAAUAAAGAAAAAAAAAAAACAACUUAAAAGCACACAAAAAACAAACAACAAAAAACGCUGAAAAGCUGCAGUUCCGAAUAUGGAGUUUAAACUUCAAUUCAAAUCGGAGCCGAUCACUUGGGCAUUCUUAUUCACCGAGGGACCUUUUCUUCUCAUCGAAGACAACCAGUGUCACCGUCGAGGGAUCGAACAUCUGACCGAACAAAUAUAACAAAAA